rnacentral:lncRNA from 1 species
CAGAAGAGACCCAGCAGCCUUGAUAACCUUUUUUUCACCAGGCAGGAACCUUCAUGGCCAACUGCAGCCUAUCCUGCAGGAAGUAUUUCCAAGCAAGUCAGAUAUCACUGACAUCUUCAUGAUAAACCACUUAAACACACAAUCAAAGACCCACCUUUAGACGUCGCGACUGAAGUUGUUUUCAAAGAAAAGUAUGAAGAGAAAAACUCUGCUCUCGUGUGUAGAUCGGGCAUAACUCAAGAGCUAAAACCAGAAUAGGGCCUGGAAAUUUUAUCUUUUGGCUCAGAAAACAGGAGUGAACAAAAGGCCUGAUUCAUCACUGAGGAAAGCCAAGUCAGCACCAAAGGUUCAUAUUAAUUUGCUAAUUUGAUUUAGGACUUGACCGGUGAGGCAAGGUGACUGCAUUGAAAGCACUGACUUCAGACAACUUGAGCUAUUCUUAAAAUGAUAUAAAAUAUUAUUGAAGACAGGCAUUGCUCUAGGUGGCAGCUUUGGAAAGUAUUAUUACUGCUGUCACUGAGCGACAGACUGUGAUGCAAGUCUGAUGGGUGCUGAAAAUUAGAGCAAGUUUUGUCCCAGAUACUUUUCCAUGUGCAAAGGAACCAUAUAAUAUGCAGGGAUUCGUUCACAAUUACGGUACUUGUAGAAGAUCUUUAUUCUGUGUCCAGAUGUCCAAGCCUAGCAACAUGCAGACCUUACAAAGUGUCUAGUCUUGGAAAGCUCAACCAUUGAAGAAAAGCACAUUUCCAAAUGUCCCACCGUGAAUGACAGCUUGGCCCCAAAACCUGGUCGUUCAUCUUGAGUGAUGAAGUGGAUGGAACGAUUUGCAGAGGACAACAGGCCCAAGACAUUACAGGAGAUGGUUAGAAGAUUCUACCUACCCCAGAGCAGUCAGAUGAGCUGA